UAGUAACUAAUUUUAUACAUAUAUAUAUAUAUAUAUAUAUAUAUAUUUUAACAGAGCUGUUUUUAGCUAAAAAUCAAGUGUGGUCUCUCCCCAAACCCAGGGAGUAGCUGAGAUUCUCUGUGGAGGGAGAACCUACCGGAGGAGAAUGUUAGGGCCUGUGCAGAAAAUAGGAUUGAAAGAAACAUGGUCAAUCUCAUGUUUAGGAAAAAUUCUUGUAAAGAUUUUUGUUUCUACUUGACUAGGUCAAUAAAGAUAAGGCACUAAAGAUAGGCAAUCUAAAUGCCAUUUUACACAUAUGGUGGAUGGAUAACUCUGUGUCCUAAUAUUUCUGAACCUUAGUUACCUUAUAUGUAAAGUAAAAAAAAGUACCAAUCCAUACAUCCAUUUCCUUUUUGCCAUCUCUUGUCGACUAGGCACUUUUCAGGAUUUUCCAAGGAGAUCAUUGAAACUUUGUUUUGCUUUUCUGCAAAGAUGUGUAUAUGAAGUUGUGUUUGCUGUCUGGCCUUAUGAGAGACUCAGUGCUUUUCUGACACUAACAUUCUGGGGCUCUUUGUCCAGUCCUUCCUCCUUGGUCUUCCAUGGUUCUCUGAGAUGCAGGUAAUUGAAUGCUUGAGCUGGGAAAAAGCUUUUGUUCUAUGAUGAUUCUAAGUCUUACUCUCUCAUUGCAAACACUAAAGUGUAGUUCUAAGCGCAAGUACAGUUUUCCUCAUUUUUAUUUAUCUUUCCCAAGAUUUUAUAGCAAAGUUUUUGUUUUCUGCACCACCUCUACCCUGCUACCCCUCCUUAAGCCCCUACGCAGCUGAAAGCUGGAAGCUGAAACGUUUUCAACUUGAGCAGACAGGUUGAAGAUGCUGCCAAACCAUGUGGAAAUACAUUGGUAUAGACUGGAACUUUGUUUCCCUUGCCUGCCAAAAUCUCAGAUGGAGCUUUAGGACUCAUGGAAGACCUUCCUCAAGGGGGACUUGAAGUGCUCUGGGAAAAAUAUGCGAGUGUGACCCUUUCCAGGGGGCAGCACGAGGAUGGCCAAACCCGCUACUCUCCCUGGGGCUGGGUAAGGAGAUCCGGCUGCAAGUUUCUGAAAAAAUUUUAAAAAGGCUGUUAAUUUCUGAAACUAGAAAAUAUACUUGACUCCUGGACCCAGAAAAUACUCUUCCAAGUUGCAAAAAAACAAUCAUUCUUUUUAAAUGGGGUAACAUUUCUGGAAUACAUCGUUCCCAAAAUAAGAUCCUCCAAUUUGGAAAAAUCUAGCUGAAAUAAAUGAAAAUAACAGAUGGAAGAGAAAUAACAGAAGUUAUCCAAAGAACAGCAAGAGAUAUGAAGUGGGGAAUCAUCUGUCUAGAAAAUGGUACUCAGUUGUACUUUUGAAAUUAAAGGUACAUUGGCUUCUGAAGAGAUUGCAAUUUUUCUCUUGACAGUUCCCCCUUACACAUUAUGUCCUUUCUGGGCCAAGGUUAGCACGUAAGAGGUAUAGUUUUCUUUUCUAUUCCUGCUUCUCCCAUUUGUGCAGUUUCCAUCUGUUCAAAGGUGUUAAGAUCAACUGUUCUGGUGUCCUGGAUAAAGGUUUGGGCUCUUGGCAGAGUGCUGGAUAAAUACAGAGUCAUGCUAUUAGCAUAGGGAUGUUUAAUAACGAUUGUUUAUGUUCUCUUAGCCUUGUCUGAGAGCAACUGUGGGCAACCCGGGCCCCUUGGCAGUCUGCUGAGUGCACCUGACAGCAAGGCUGAGCCUGGUGCUGCUCACCUGCUGCCAUGGGAGCCCCCCGCAGCCAGUCACCGUCUCGCCUUCCUGCAGAGCGCCUCCCACAGUCCUCGUUUGGAAGAACACAGUUUUAGUACUUCAUUGACAAUGGAAACCAUUUGGGUUACAUAAUUCACUGUUCCAUUUCUGUGCAGCUUUUUUUGUUAACCAUGAGAGCUUGGUAUUUUGCUGACUUUCUGUGCUUCCUUCAUCCUUCCUGACCUCCCUUCUUACUGGUUCCAUGGCUGUUCUUCAGGGGUCCACCCUCUGCAAGACAGUAGCUUAGGGUUUUUGUUCCUGGCUGCAUCAGCACCUGUGUAGCUGCUUAUCCUUUGCUCAGGUCGUCGAGAGGUGUUUUUUCAGAGAAAGAGAUGGACGGUCUGGCCAGACCAUUUAAGUUUUUGCAUUGGGUUUCUUUCUGUCUCCAAUCCCCACCCUAUUUGACUAGUCUAGUGAACUGAACUCUCACCUUGCAGAGCUGGUCAUGAGCCGCUGGCAUUUUCCUCUUCUCUACAGUGACCCGGUUCACCCUCCUCUUCCCCAGCUCUCCAUAUUCCUCCAGAGCUAAAGGCACAAGUCAGGCAGAAGGUAUUCCUGCCCUACGUCUUAUCAAAUGUCUCUGCAGAACUUAGGCAGAAGGCAUUCCUGGCCCUUACAUCAAGUGUCUCUGCAGAAGGAAAAGAGGAGAGAGAGAAGGCAGAGAAAAGAGGAAAAAAGAGGACAGAAUGGAUCACCUCACCAGCCCAGAAUUUCCUUUAAGAACUUACCCUUUGAUGAUUCCUAGAUUUAGCAUGUCCUACAAAAAGUCCUGUCACACUUGUCAGUCCUGGAGGAGACGAAUUUGCAUGUAAGCUCCGCUGUGUCCUGGAUAAAGUUCCUGGGAAGACGGGCUGAAAGUAGCCAGGAUGAAGCUGACCUUGCCAUUUCCUCAUUUUCCAUUUCAUUGCAGUUUUAAAAAAUGAGCGUUAAGUAACCUCAGUGAAAUUUUUAAACAGGGCACUGUAGUAUCUCCCUAAGAGUGUCAGUCACUGUAAGCAGUGGCAGAGUGAGAGCCAGGGAGGGCCCAAAAACCCAGACUACAGAUCUUCUCAUUUUUUCCCAAGCCCUCUUUUCACAUUUUUAUAAAGUCUCAGAGCACGAAGUGCUUAGGGGAACAUUCUAGCUCCCCAGUGUCAAAGGAGGAGCCUGCGGUCUGCGUUUACCAGUUAAUGGCGGAGGAGUAGGAGAUGCUGGCUCUCGGCAAGACUCCUUCUCUUCCUGCUGUGCUCCUCACUGUCUUAUGGAAGCAGGUGGUGGCUGUGGGAUGAGAAGGGCAAGGAGGAGGUGCUGUUAAUAAAACCAACUGGGGAGUGAAGUGGAGUGGAGUGAAGAAGAACGAGAGGCACAGUUAACUUCCCACUGGAAACUCCCAAGCAAGGAGUCUGUAGGUUGUAGAAUGAGUUUGGCUGCAAGUGGGAAUGCAAGGCCAAAGUGGUACAUCUGCUUUCCAUGAGAGCAUCCCAGCUCAUUGCUUUGCUUUUUUCCCCUUCCCUCUGCUAGGAAGGAGAGUGUUCUUUCUUCAUAGUGUGCAUCUUUGGAAUGUAACACCAUUCUUUGUCUUCUGCGGGAACAUAAACCUGACAAAGACAGUGAGGCAGGGGAAUAAGUCUUUUUAUGAAAUGAGAUAAAAGAGAUUUUUGAAGAAAAGAAAAUCUGUAUCAUUCUGUUUGAGGAAAACCUUUUGCUUGAAUCCAUCAUUUCUUGUUUUCCACAUAAUUUUUUGGGGUGUCUUAAUUAGCUGGAACAUCUGACACCAUCGGACAGUUAUUUCCCUCAAAUUGUUAGCAGAUCUACCCAGUAGAGGUCAUACUCCUCUCAGGUUGUACUGUAGAAUCUAGGUCAUGACUCCUAGACUUUUUCAAGAGAGGUACGUGCACUGUGCCCCUUGCUCCCAGUCUCAGCCUCUUGAUCCUUGUAUUAGUCUGUUCUCAUGCUGCUAAUAAAGACAUACCCAAGACUGGGUAAUUUAUAAAGGAAAGUGGUUUAAUUGACUCACAGUUCUGCAGGGCUGGGGAGGCCUCAGGAAACUUACAAUCAUGGUGGAAGGGAAAGCAAACAUGUCCUUCUUCACAUGGUGGCAGGAAGGAGAAGUGCUGAGUAAAAGGGGAAAAGCCUCUAAUAAAACCAUCAGAUCUUGUGAGAACUCACUCACUAUCACAAGAACAGUAUGAGGGUAACUGCUCCCAUACAUAAAUUACCUCUUGCUGGGCCCCUCCUGCAACACGUGGGGAUUAUUGGAGCUACAAUUCAAGAUGAGAUUUGGGUGGGGACACAGCCAAACCAUAUUAAUCCUUCACUCUUGUAUCCCUGCUUCUGCCAUCACAACUGCUCCUGCAGCAGUCACCACUGGUCUCUCAAUUGCAAAGUGUCUCAGUGCUUACCCUGCUGAGCUCCCUACAGCACUGCCACACCUCCUUAAAACUCUUUUCCCUUGUCUUCUGAGACCUUGUUCAGAAUUGAUACUGUUUCUACCUCUUUUUCAAAGCAUCUCUCUGUUCUCUACCUCCUGUCCUGGAAAGUCAGAUAUCUCCCAUGGUUUUCUCUUUUUUUCCCCUUCACCCCCCUGGAAAUUCCUUACAUCCUUGAUCUCAUCACUUGCCUUUCCAUUUCCAGAGCUGUCUCCUCUCCUGUGCUGUUGAGCCCUUCCAUCCUACCUGCCUGAUGAGCAUCUCUAACAGAUUGUCUUAGAAGCAACUCAAAUUCAAUAUUUUUGGCUAUACUUGCCUACUUUUCUCCCCAACCGGUCACCCCUCUGUGUUUCCUAUUUCCAAGGCACCCAGGACCAUCAUCAAGUUUACUUUUAAUCAAUCUUCUUUCCAUUCCAUUUCUUUUAUCACCUUAGCUAAAAUUGCUAACUCUUGUCCAGAUCAUUGUAUCAAUCCAGCUGACAUUCUUUUAUCCGUGUUCCUCCCUACUCAAGCAUCAUCAUAAUUCACAUUACAGAUAGGUCUUCCAGAAUCAUAGCUCCUAUGGUGCCAUUCAUCCUAUUCAACCACCUUCUAUUGUGGCUUUUUGCUAAUUACCAAGUUAAUUUUUUUUUGCCUUGGCUUUUAACAUUCUCAGUGAUCUGGUCCUAGUCCACAUUUUCAGCUUUAUCUCCUACCACUCAGUAGAAAAUGGAAUCUUGUGAUAUUUCCUUUCUAUGCUUUAUAUUUUUCUGCUAACUCAUUCUAUUCAUUCUAUUAUCUUUGCAUUUACCCAAAACAUUGUAUUCUCCAAUCCCCACUCUUCUUUAGGGGUUCUAACUCUUUCAUGAUUAACUCAUCCACCGUUUUAUUGUGGAACAUCCAUUGUGGUUUAUACUGAUCACCUUUUGGCAUUAUAACUCUUUAACUUCCUUUAAAACAAUGGUGUGCAGGUUGUUUCUCCUACCAAACUCCUAAGAAAUAGGAAAACUUGUCUUAGGCAUUUAAAAGAUUUCCUCCAGCAUGUAACAAGAAGCCUGCCUUGCAUAGUGGGUGCUCUGUUUGUCAGAGAAAUAGAAUUCAUCUUGAUAUAUCUUAUACUUGGUUAACAAUCAGAAGUACCUUUAUUUCCCUCUCUUUCACUCCUCCUCCUUCCCCUGCCCCAUUUAUAUAUAAAACACAGACUGCUACCAUAUGGUGUCUUUCUAAUCACAUUCUUGUAUGAGAAGAAGAGAUAUAUUAUUACAGACUACUGAUCCUUUAGCUGUAUAAAAUGACAAUUCUAACUUAAGAGCAGAUAGGUGAUUUAAAGUUUUAUAGUUUCCAUGUUAUUCUGUUGGGCUUUUAAAUCUCCUUUACCAGUAAACUGAAUGAUGGACGCAUGCCAUAAUGAUCACAUUAAUUUAACUUUACAAAGUUUUUAAUAUGUGACACCCUUUAACAAACUGAAAAAUAAAAAUCCAUGGUGGGCAGGUAAGUAUUGUUCUUGAAGAGACAUUACUUUAUCCUUACUUCAGUAGAAUCAAUGUCAUUGUGGCAGGAAAAAAUUGUCAUUUAGUUAAUGAAUAAAGAAUAAAAAUGAGAGAAGCCAAGAGACAAAUUAUUCUAAAUAAUGAGUAUAUGACAGAUUUGUGGGUGGCCAAGGUGGAGCAAGCCAACUAUUUCUUAUCUAACCCAUUGGUUAAAACUCAAACCUCUGGAAAGAAUACAUAAGACAACUAUUUGAAGACUUAAAAAGUAAACAAUAAGAGGUAAAUACAGACAGGAAGUCAAAGCUUGAAGAAUAACCAUGUCUUAGUCAGUUUGGGUUGCUAUAAUGGAAUAGCAUAGGUGGGGUUGCUAAACCACAAACUUAUUUCUCACAGUUCUGGAGACUGGGAAGUCCAAGAUCAAGGCACCAGCAGAUUGAUGUCUGGUGAGGGCACACUUCCUGCUUUGCAGAUGGCUACUUUCUUGUUAUAUCCUCAUAUAGGGGGAGAUAGAAAGAAAGAGGGCAGGGGGAGAGAGAGAGAGAGAAAGCGGGGGGAGGGGGAGGAAGGAAGCUGUCAUGUCUCCUCUUAUAAGGACUUUAAUCCCGUUCUAGAAGACUCCACCUCCAUGACCUACUUACCUUUCAAAGACUCCACCUCUGAAUACCAUUGCAUUGUGGGGGUUAAUAUUUCAACACAUGAAUUUUCCAGGAGCACAAACACUCAGUUCAUAACAAGCUAGUACUAGUAAGUUUUCUGUUCAUUCUCCUCCUCUAUGUCUCAGCUUUGAUUCAUGGAAAACCAACAACACUCUGAGAGGUGAAACUGUGCCACAGGUGUGGAGAGCAAAACCCAAAAGAAAGCCAUCUUUCCAAUCAGAUGACCAGCAAAAAUAAGUCACUGAAAGAGAAUAUGAAAUGAAAUCCCUGUUUUUUUUUCUGUUUGUUUCUCUUUUUCCUUUCUUGGCAUUGCCUGAGGCCAGCCCCAGUCAUGGUGAUGUAUUGCCUAGAUAUGGUGGUGGUGGGGUAUACAAAUCCCAAGAGCUAAUCCAUAUCUGUGGUCAGAGGAAUGGGAAAAAGGGAUCCAAGUAGCCUGAAUAGUGUGCAGGAAUCUUUUAUUUAUUCUGUUAUAUUCUUACCCCUGUAUCCCAAGUGUGGCCCCCAUUGCACAGAACAGUGCAAGAGCACUGGGCCUAAAAUCCAAAAAGAAGCUCAUCUUUCUGGCCAGAAGAACUGGUAAAAUAGUCUCUAACAGCCAAAGAGUGGCAGGAUCUUUGAGAAGACAUAGCUAGAGAAGGGUACACUCUAAUUAUGGUACAUAGACCAACACAAGUCCCGAGAUCCCACCUGAGCUAAAUGUGUAGAACAUACUCAAAGAAAAAUAGCAUUUUACAAAAAUAGCUUUGUUUUGUAAAUUGACUGCCAAACAAACCAAUCAAAAAAGAACAUUGUUUGGAGGAUUUUAACAGGAUACAGAGUCUCACUACAUUAUAUUCAGUAUGUCUCACAUUUAAUUUCAUACAUCUAUAAUACAAUUCAAAAAUCACUCAACAUACAAAUAACCAGAAAAUUUAAGCAAUUCUCAAGGAAAAGGACAAUCAGUGACCCCGAAGCCAAGAAGACCCAGAUGUUGGAAUAAUCAAAUAAAGAUUUUAAAGCAGCUUUAAUGACCAUGUGCCAUAAAGUAAAGGCAAGCACUCUUGAAAUGAAUGAAAAGAUACAAACUCUCAGCAGAAAAAGAGGAACAAUUGAAAAGUAACUAAACGGAACUGUAGAAUAAAAGUAUAUAAUAUCAUAAGUAAAAAA